rnacentral:rRNA from 1 species
GAGGGGAAGGUCCCCCACACUGGUACUGAGACACGGACCAGACUCCUACGGGAGGCAGCAG